rnacentral:rRNA from 1 species
UGGGGAAUAUUGGACAAUGGGCGCAAGCCUGAUCCAGCCAUGCCGCGUGAGUGACGAAGGUCUUCGGAUUGUAAAACUCUUUUGGCGGGGACGAUAAUGACGGUACCCGCAGAAUAAGCCCCGGCUAACUUCGUGCCAGCAGCCGCGGUAAUACGAAGGGGGCUAGCGUUGUUCGGAAUCACUGGGCGUAAAGCGCACGUAGGCGGAUGUGCCAGUCAGGGGUGAAAUCCCGGAGCUCAACUCCGGAACUGCCUCUGAUACUGCACGUCUUGAGUUCGAGAGAGGUGGGUGGAAUUCCUAGUGUAGAGGUGAAAUUCGUAGAUAUUAGGAAGAACACCGGUGGCGAAGGCGGCUCACUGGCUCGAUACUGACACUGAGGUGCGAAAGCGUGGGGAGCAAACAGGAUUAGAUACCCCCGUAGUCCCUGAGCGGGCUGGCAAGGCGCAU